rnacentral:rRNA from 1 species
UACGUAGGGGGCAAGCGUUAUCCGGAUUUACUGGGCAUAAAGCGCGUGUAGGCGGUAUUUUAAGUUGGGUGUUAAAGGCCAGGGCUUAACCCUGGUAUGCAUUCAAAACUGAGAUACUAGAGAACAGGAGAGGAAAGCGGAACUCACAGUGUAGCGGUGAAAUGCGUAGAUAUUGUGAGGAACACCAGUUGCGAAGGCGGCUUUCUGGACUGUAUCUGACGCUGAGACGCGAAAGCGUGGGGAGCGAACGGG